AACGAACGCUGGCGGCGUGCCUAACACAUGCAAGUCGAACGGGAAAACCCGCAAGGGUGAGUACAGUGGCGCACGGGUGCGUAACACGUGGGUAAUCUGCCCAGAAGCCCGGAAUAACUCCCCGAAAGGGGUGCUAAUGCCGGAUGAGACCACGGGGACUUCGGUUCCUGGGGGAAAAGGUGGCCUCUGUAUACAAGCUAUCACUUCUGGAUGAGCCCGCGGCCCAUCAGCUAGUUGGCGGGGUAAGGGCCCACCAAGGCUACGACGGGUAGCUGGUCUGAGAGGACGAUCAGCCACACUGGAACUGAGACACGGUCAAGACUCCUACGGGAGGCAGCAGUGGGGAAUCUUGCGCAAUGGGCGAAAGCCUGACGCAGCAACGCCGCGUGUGUGAUGAAGGUCUUCGGAUCGUAAAGCACUGUCGGGAGGGACGAAUAAGGGCCGGGUGAACAAUCCGGUUCGACGACGGUACCUCCAGAGGAAGCACCGGCUAACUCUGUGCCAGCAGCCGCCGUAAAAC
rnacentral:rRNA from 1 species